rnacentral:rRNA from 1 species
AACAACGCUGGCGGCGUGCCUAACACAUGCAAGUCGAACGAGAAAGUCGGUUUCGGCCGAUGAGUAAAGUGGCGCACGGGUGAGUAACGCGUGGAUAAUCUACCCUUUAAGUCCGGAAUAACUUGCCGAAAGGUGAACUAAUACCGGAUGACAUCCCGGGUUCUCCGGAAACCGGGAUCAAAGAAGGCCUCUGCUUGCAAGCUUUUGCUGAAGGAUGAGUCCGCGUACCAUUAGCUAGUUGGUGGGGUAAUGGCCUACCAAGGUUAUGAUGGUUAGCUGGUCUGAGAGGAUGAUCAGCCACACUGGAACUGAAACACGGUCCAGACUCCUACGGGAGGCAGCAGUGAGGAAUAUUGCGCAAUGGGGGCAACCCUGACGCAGCAACGCCGCGUGAGUGAGGAAGGUUUUCGGAUUGUAAAGCUCUGUCGAGCGGAAAGAAAUGCACGAUGGCUAAUAUCCAUCAUGCUUGACGGUACCGCUAGAGGAAGCACCGGCUAACUCCGUG